rnacentral:rRNA from 1 species
UAUUAUCAUCGCCUACCAUUAUCUCUUUGCUGUGAGGUCACGCUCAGCUGUUUUCGUCGUGCAAAUCAAUCGUCAGACUUGGGUAUAGGGGCGAAAGACUAAUCGAACCAUCUAGUAGCUGGUUCCCCUCGAAGUUUCCCCCAGGAAAGCUGGUGUCAUAUGUGACAAUUUUAUCUGGUAAAGCGAAUGAUUAGAGGCAUUGGGGACAAACUGUCUUCGACCUAUUCUCAAACUUUAAAUGGGUAAUGAGCCGAAACACUUCUUGAUUGAGUGUAUUGGUAAAAUGCAAUGAUACCAAGUGGGCCGACGGAUGCAGUACAUGCAUGAACUGAGCGCUGUGGGAUGAACCAAACGUUGAGCUAGGGUGCCCAAAGUGCUUCUCAUGAGAUACCAUGAAAGGUGUCAGCCGAUAUUGACAGCAGAGACGGUGGCCACAGAAGUCGGAAUCCGCUAAGGAGUGUGUAGUAACUCCACCUGCCGAAUCGACUGGCCCUGAAAAUGAAUGGCGCGGGAGACGUAUACCCAUGUCUCGACCGUCAAUGCCAAACGUGCAAUACAUCGAAUUUCUGGCUUGACGUGUAGAGGGGCGACUGCGACGGCGUCGAAAUCUGCAGCGUGAGCUGGGAUAGAGCCGUUGCAUGUGCAGAUCUUGGUGGUAGUAGCAAGUAUUCAAAUGAGAGCAUUGAAGACUGAAGUGGAGAAAGGUUCCAUGUGAACAUCAUUUGGACAUGGAUCAGCCGAUCCUAAGAGAACGUAUAAGUUCGUGAUGAAGCGCGUCGCUUUGUGCGAUGCAAUCGAAAGGGAAUCGGGUUAAUAUUCCCGAGCCAGGAUACGGAAUAUGUCUGAUGCCCCAACAGUGCCUCGGUGCUGUUGGAAUCAGGCGAGAGCGGUAACGCUAACAAACCCAGAGAUUAACUAUGCGAUGUCCGGGGAAGAGUUUUCUCUUCUUUGUUAGGAAUGUUAUCCCUGGAAGCAGAUUGUCUGGCGAUAGGGUACCGCAUUCCGUAAUGCAACGCGAUUCCUGCGAUGUACCGUGCGCAUUGUAUAGUGCUUGAAAAUCUGGGGGCGAUUUCAUUUUUGUCGUACCUGUUCGUACUGAUUUCCGCAGCAGGUCUCCAAGGUGAGCAAGCCCUCUAGUCCAUAGGACAAAGUAGAACAAGCGAAGUCGGCAAAUUCAGAUCCGUAACUUCGGAAAAAGGAUUGGCUCUAGAAGCUGAGCUCAUCGGGCUGUUGCAAGAAAUGGGGCGUGAAGCCUCGGCUCUGACCCAGAUUCUAAGCUCGCAAGGGUGAUAAAGAUCGAGGUUGGACACUUGGCAUGAUCUGUCCCAUGGAAGGCAACAGCUGUACCUUUUCUCUGGCUGCCUCGGUGACCAGUUUUAAGGCUCCGAUGAGCGUUUAACAGCUGACCUAGAACUGGUACGGACAAGGGGAAUCCAACUGUUUAAUUAAAACAAAGCAUUGCGAUAGCUGUAAUCGGUGUUGACGCAAUGAUGAUUUCUGCCCAGUGCUCUGAAUGUUACACACGUGAAAGGAAUAGUGUCGAUCCUAUGCGUGAGUAGGUACGACAGAAUCUUCACCUUCA